CAAACUAAUACCUCAUAUUCCUCACCGUUCUCUUUCACACACAGCCGCUCUCACCUCCUUUUUUCUUAUUUCUUCCUUCCAAUCAAAGCAAAGCAAUUUCCUCCAAGUAAAACACCACAAUCUGAACUGAACUGGAAUUCCCAGAAUUCUCCGAAGAAGCCCAAAUCUGCCACCAACAGAACCUGGAAAACUCGUUGCCACUCCCAAUUCCUGAAACUCGUUAUGUUGCCGGAACCCUAGAAUAUUUCCACCAGUAAUCGUCACCAUGUCUCCAGCAGCUGCAGAUGUUUCACAUCCAGUUUCCACAUCACAACCCUUUUCUCAAAACCCUAACCCUAGCUUCCCGGGCAGCAAUGGUCCGUGCCAACAGCAAUCAAGAUGCUUCAAUUUUGAUGAUAAGGAUUCUGGUAAUUGUGAUCUCAGCUUUGAUUUCUCUAAAAAGGGUUCGGAUUUAUCAGGCCAGCAGAAGCCUCCGAGGAUCAGGGUUCCGGUCAAGAAGAAACGGGGAAAGUUAACCAGUUCUGAAAAUAAAGAUUUUGGAAAUGCAUUGCGUCCGGAUAGCUCAAGUCGGGCUAAUGAAGCUAGUGUAAGUAAGACUAGUAGUUGUGAUUAUGUAUUUAAUGCUGGUGCUGAAAGUGGGAAAAUUGGUAAAAUGCGUUUUGUUUUUGGUGCUAAUUGCCCUAAUGUGUGUAGCUCCGGGUCGAAUUUAAAGAAUUUGGAUGAGGGUGUUGUUUUUGGAGCUAAUAAGACUCCCUUACCAUCGAAUUUGAGCAGUGGAAAUGCUGGUUCUGUGGUUGGAGCUAAUGAAUGUAGUUCAAGUUCGGGGUUGAGUGGUGGAAAUGGAGAUUCAUUGUUUGGAGCUAAUAAGAGAAGCUCAAUUUCGAAUUUUGAUAAUGGAAAUGGAAGUUUUGAGUUUGGAGCUAGUAAUGAUAGGCCAGAUCAAGAAAAUCGAGGUGUUAUGUUUGGAGGUGAAAGGAGUAGUUUGCCGCCAAAUUUGAAUAUGUUUGAAGCUGAUAAAAUUAGUUCCAUAGCAAAAACGUAUAAUGGAAGUGUAGGUUCUGCAUUUGGUUCUACUGAGAGUGGAUCGACUUUAAAAUCAAGUUUGGGAAAUGGGAAUGCUUUAUUUGGUGCUAGUGGAAGUAACUCAGCAGUUAACAUGAGUUUGGGAAAGGGGAAUGCUGAAUUUGUUGACAUUUCAAGUGACUUGAAAUUGAAUUCAAGGUCAGGGCAGGGAAAUGCUGUAUUUGGUGCCAAUACAAGUGAAUCAACAUUCAGUUCAAGCGGGGGAAGUGGGAGUUUUUUCUUUGGUGCUAGUAAAAGUAAUUUAAGUUCCACACCAAAUUUGGACCAAAGGGAAUUUAGCAGAACAGCGGGACAGUCUGAAGCUGAUGAGUCUAAGAUAUUAGAUAAUGGUAGUGUUGUUUUUGGUGUAGAGCAAGGUGAGUUGGCUUCGGAUUCCGGCGUGAAGCAGAAAAGUUCUAGUAACACUAGUUCCACGCAAUCAGCUGCUAUUGAUUUUGGAAAAUUUAGUAAUACAGGUUUUGUAUUUGGCACUGACUGGAAAGUUGGUGGGAAAGAAGAUCGUCCUCGUUUUGAGCCUGGGGCUAAGCAAAAUGCUUCAAAAUCUAAUGCAGAGGCGGACAAGAGUAAAGUUAGAAGACGGACAAGGAAGUUGGACUUUGUGACCCUAAGCAAUAAAAUUAGAGACAUGGGAAAUGAGUUUCAGAAAGCUGACGUUAACGGUGUAUUUCUGUUUGGUAAUAGUAGCAAGGAGAAACCUAGUUCCAGUGGAAGUAAUAGUAAUAGUCAUGAGACAAACCGGUUGGAUGGAGAAAGUGCUGAAAGUGGCAACGCCUCCAUGAAGUUUCCCUCUGAUGCUAUUAUGUCCAAUUUUAAGUUUGUGAUUGGGAGCAGUUCCUCUCCUGGUAGUGCUGUUUACAAGAUCCCUUUGUCUAAACUCUUUGACGAGAUGAAGGGCUUGAACAUAGACAACACUAAAGGUAUAAGUGGUACUGACAAGGUCAAAGUAGUUGGUGGUAAUUCAUCUUUCACUACUGGUAACUUGUUUGUCUUUCAAAGUAAAGGCCAGACUUCUAAUCAGACAUCGGAUUCGACUGGAAAGGUUUGCAAUGGAAAUAUUCCUCCUCAAGACCAGACAGCAUAUGAUUCCGAUCUUAAAAAAACAUCGUUCUCAUCUCCAAACUCAUCAAGUGCCACCAUUCAUGUCCAGCAAAAUGGAUUUGGUUUUGAAGCACCUCCUGCUCCUAAAAUUGAGAAUAAGGCCAAUCUUGGUGCUACUACCACACCUGUAGGACCAGAUGCAUGUUCCAGAGAAUUUAAGUGGAAUACAAAUGAAUCUUAUUCUUUCGGGACAAAUCUAUUUUCUGGGUUAGGGAAAAAGUUAGAAUUCUCUGCAAAAAGUAGAUGCUUGAGGGACAAAAGAUCGAAGAAGACAAGGGGGAAGUCCAGGCAGCCAAUUCUGGCCAAGCAUUUGACUGAGCAGGAUCGUAUGUCCAAAGAAAGCAGUUCCCCUAAUAAUUUUGAGUCUCCUGGAUGUUAUUCACCAAUGGAUUCUUCACCUUACCAGGAUACUACAGCUAAUGCACGGGGUUCUUCACACACUUCUACUGGGACUGAAAAUAGAGAGGAAAAUGUCUCUGGUGCAAGACAAGGAUUUGAUAUCAAUGAAGUUGACAAGAAAUCUGGAAAACAGGAUAAUGUCAGUUCUAAAGUUUACUGUGAUGACAAAUCAUCUGCCACAUCCUCUGCCCAAGAUGGCUUAUCAGCAAUAAAGCGUCAAUACAGGAAAAAAUACAAGUUGAAAGUUGGUGAUGGGCUGAAUAGAAAAACUACAGUUCAAAAAUCUGAUUCUUUUUCAUCCUCGGUUCAGUUUUCUCCAAAUGCUUCCAAUUCAUCAUGCAUGGGUAAAGCACAGGUUCAAAGUGGAGUUGCUGCAAAGCCUCAUAAUAAACCUGAUGGACAAUGUGCUAAGCAGGAUUCCACUGAGGGUGUCAUGCAUGAAGAGUGUGAGCAGUGGCGAAUGAGGGGAAACCAAGCCUAUAAGAGUAGGGAUCUGUACAAAGCUGAGGAAUACUAUACAAAGGGCAUAAAUUCCAUUAAACAUAAAAAUGCUUCUGGGUUCAUCAUUGAACCGCUUUUGUUGUGCUAUAGCAACCGUGCAGCGACGCGAAUGUCUCUUGGAAGGAUGCGAGAAGCCCUGGAGGACUGUAAAUCUGCUGCUGCUUUAGAUCCCGGAUUUCUCAAAGUAAAACUAAGAGCUGCAAAUUGUCAUUUAUUACUCGGCGAAUUCCAAGAGGCUAUGUUAUACUACAAUAGUUGCUUGGAGUCUGGGAAUGAUGUAUGCUUAGAUAGAAGAAUUAUAAUUGAAGCUGCUGAUGGUCUACAAAAGGCACAGAAAGUGUAUGAUUAUAUGUGUCAGGCUGCUGAACUUUUGCAGCAGAGAACUUCUGAUGCAGCAAACUCUGUUCUUACUAAAGUUGGUGAAGGUUUAUCAAUAAGCUGUUACUCUGAAAAACUACUUGAAAUCAAAGGAGAGGCUCUCUUCCUGUUGCGGAGGUAUGAUGAGGUGAUUGAACUGUGCGAGCAAACUCUUCAUACUGCUGAAAAGAACUUUAGUGCUAUUGAACUUGCAAAUGAUGAUGAUGCUCAACGUACAAACUGUGUGAGCCUUUGGAGGUGGUGCUUGAUGUCCAAGUCUCAGUUUCAUUUGGGAAGGCUUGAAAUGGCUCUUGAUCUGAUUGAAAAACAAGAGAAAUUAACAUCCACAAGUUACAGGCCUGCAAGUGUGAAUUGCGGAUCCUCUAUUCCUCUUGCUGCUGCUAUACGUGAACUUCUACAAAGAAAGAAAGCGGGAAAUGGAGCUUUUCAAUCUGGGAAGCAUGCAGAGGCUGUAGAGCACUAUACUGCUGCUAUUUCAAGUAGUGUUGUCUCACGUCCUUUUGCGGCUAUUUGUUUCGGCAAUCGAGCUGCUGCCCACCAAGCACUGGGUCUGAUUUCUGAUGCCAUUGCUGAUUGCAGUCUAGCAAUAGCACUUGAUGAAAAUUACUUGAAGGCAGUUUCGAGGAGAGCCACUUUGCAUGAGAUGAUUAGAGAUUAUAAACAAGCUAUCACUGAUCUCCAGAGUCUUAUAUCUCUUCUAGAGAAUCAAUCACAGGUAAAGGCUCAAUCAUCUGGGAAGCAGGAUGGAUCAAAUGAAAGCAACCGGAAGGAGCUAAAACAAGCUCGCCAGCGUCUUUCCUUAAUUGAAGAUAUGGCCAAGAAAGGAACUCCCAUGGAUUUUUACCUCAUACUGGGAAUUAAAGCAUCUGAUUCGGAAUCUGACAUCAAGAAGGCAUAUCGAAAGGCUGCUCUUAAGCAUCAUCCAGACAAGGCUGGCCAGUACUUGGUAAGGAGUGACGCAGGAGAUGAUGGGGCAGGAUCAUUGAAGGACAUAGUUGAAAAGGUUCAUGAAGAUGCUGACAGGUUAUUCAAAAUAAUUGGUGAGGCAUAUGCUGUACUUUCGGAUCCCAACAAGCGGUCGAAUUACGAUUAUGAAGAGGAAAUUAGGAAUUCUUGCGGUUCUCCAUCUGAUUUUUACAGUUCUCCAUAUGAUAGAGGGCAGUGGUCUGGGAGGAAUUCUAAUUUUUCCAGUUCGUUUGAAAGAAGCAGAAGCGGGCGAUCUUGGCAUGGCACAUGGAGAUCAUAUGAUAAUUCACAUUCUAGAUGGUAAAAAUGCAGUGAAAGGCAUCUUUGAUAUCCAAUCAAGUUGAUUCAGGGGUUGAGGAUGGUUGACAACAUAAAUAGCUUGGAAUCAUUGGACUUGAUCAUCAUACAAGCUUUGUCACCAGACCAGGACAAGAAUCCAGGCAUCAAAACCUUGUCCAUGUCGGUGUCUCGUCUGGAUUCUGGACGUGUUCAGUUCCCAUAUAACAUAACAGCAAAUUGGACAACAGGAGUAGAGGUUGAUGAAGGGACUCCAAUGCCAUGAUUCUGAGGUGGCCCGGCCGUGUUCUAUGAUUUCAACGAGUUUCUUUGCAUGACAGAAGUCGCCGCUUUUCAUCAAAGUCCAAGAAACCAAACAACAUUAUUCAUUGCAGAAGCAGCAAAAAGCAUGGUUACAACUUACAGGAUGGUCCAGGCAGCAACCAGCUUGCUAACGUAAUUCUUGAAGAUUUGGGGUGAUGGAGUGGUGGAUUUCCAUUUCCAGGUCAAGCUAAGGGUUGCGGAAUCAUUACAUAAUAUUUAGUAAAAAAAAAAAUGGUAUAAUUUUAGUCUGAACGCAAAAUUUUGUCAACUCAUAUGACUAAUAUUCACAACUAUACUAAAAUUGUACGAGUUUGCUCCAAAAGUUAUAAAAAUUAUACAAUAAUUACACUAAA